UACGGAGGGGGCUAGCGUUGUUCGGAAUUACUGGGCGUAAAGCGCGCGUAGGCGGACCUGCAAGUCGGGGGGUGAAAGCCCGAGGCUCAACCUCGGAACUGCCUUCGAUACUGCGGGUCUCGAGUCCGGGAGAGGUGAGUGGGAAUUCCUAGUGUAGAGGUGAAAUUCGUAGAUAUUAGGAAGAACACCAGUGGCGGAAGGCGGCUCACUGGCCCGGUACUGACGCUGAGGCGCGAAAGCGUGGGGAGCGAACAGG
rnacentral:rRNA from 1 species